AGAAUGAACGCUGGCGGCGUGCUUAACACAUGCAAGUCGAACGCGAAAGGGUAGCAAUACCUGAGUAGAGUGGCGAACGGGUGAGUAACGCGUGGAUAACCUGCCCGGAAGUGGGGAAUAACCAAGGGAAACUUUGGCUAAUGCCGCAUACGAUGUCGAGAGCUUCGGCUCAUGCCAUCAAAGCUGGGGAUCGUAAGACCUGGCGCUUCCGGAUGGGUCCGCGUCCGAUUAGCUAGUUGGUGAGGUAACGGCUCACCAAGGCGACGAU
rnacentral:rRNA from 1 species